CAAACCCUUUCUUGACCAAACAACAAGAAAAGAUUGCCUCACAUAUUAAAUGUUAAAAGUAAUGAGACAGAAUCUAAUAUAUCAUGAAAAUAUGAUUUUGACAUUUUUUUGCAAUUGAAGCAUGAUCUGUAAUGACAAUUUUAUUAUCCACUUCCCUCCAAUUCCAAAAUUGCUUCCUUCAUGUCUGCACGGAUACAAACAAUCUGAUAGAAUAAAACGAAUCGCACUCAAUACCGAGCUCAAUACUCAACUUGUAUCAAUGUUAACAUAUUAGUUUUGUGAUUGUUCAAAACCUUCAAACAUGAAUAAUGACCUAUCAUAUCCGGACACAUAAAUCCUAUUGACCU
rnacentral:lncRNA from 1 species